CUUAGUACGAGAGGACCGGGAUGAACAUACCGCUGGUGUACCAGUUGUUUCGCCAGGAGCAGCGCUGGGUAGCUAUGUAUGGAUGAGAUAAACGCUGAAAGCAUCUAAGUGCGAAACUCACCUCAAGAUCAGAUUUCCCAUUCCGUUAGGAAGUAAGACCCCUGAGAGAUGAUCAGGUAGAUAGGAUGGAAGUGGCAGUGUGGUGACACAUGAAGCGGACCAUUACUAAUCGGUCGAGGACUUAACCAA
rnacentral:rRNA from 1 species